rnacentral:lncRNA from 1 species
CUUUUUUUUUUUUUUUUUUUUUUUUUUUUUUUUUUUCAUUCUCCAUAGUCCAUUUAUUAAAUGUAGAGUUAGAAACACAAUUAGAAUUUACUCAUCUCUAUAAUGUCUGAAUACUAAAUCUUUGGAACAAUGAAAAUUCUUUCCCAAACCUGUUUUAUCUGGUUGUCUGGUCAGCUGAUGAACUUGGCCUUCUUUACUGAUUGAACAACUGAAAAAGAAACACCGGAUUUGAUCAAUUCUAAGCAAUGACCGUCUGAAUAAGUCUGAAAAUCCCAAGCACUGCAAAAAGACCUGCAAGCACAAAGGCACAGCAAAAAUAUUUUCUUGGCAUUCUGUAUCCCUGGCACACCAAAAGGAAAAGCAUAUGCACGGAGCAGCCAUGCCAGAGCCCUGCUCUGAAUGCAGAACAUCCUGACGGCAGCAGAACAGGGCUGAAUUAAUUAAAUGACCCUCGCUGACAGACAGCUAAGGCCCUAAGCAUCAGAUCCCAUGGGGAAACGUCCACUUCUAUCACUUCUACUGUUCACCAACCUCAAAACACUUUAAGGAUCUGUCCACUCAGUAGGAGGGAUCACCAGAAAACAUGGUCAAGUCUUUUCCCCCAAGAUGUCCUCAUUAUAUUUAUAUAUUUGAUCCUCUGCCUGGAUAGGAUCAAUUUACACUACCUGUGUGCAUUGAUUGACAUGCAGAGACCCAAGAACACCGAGAAGGUACAAUACUGCUUCACUGUUCAAAUGUUGUUUCU